UCCCAGACUCCUACGGGAGGCAGCAGUGGGGAAUAUUGCACAAUGGGGGGAACCCUGAUGCAGCGACGCCGCGUGGGCGAGGAAGUAUUUCGGUAUGUAAAGCCCUAUCGGCAGGGAAGAAGAAAUGACGGUACCUGAAUAAGAAGCACCGGCUAAAUACGUGCCAGCAGCCGCGGUAAUACGUAUGGUGCAAGCGUUAUCCGGAUUUACUGGGCGUAAAGGGAGCGUAGACGGCAGUGCAAGUCCGGAGUGAAAGCCCGGGGCUCAACCCUGGGACUGCUCUGGAAACUGUAAAGCUGGAGUGCGGGAGGGGCAGGCGGAAUUCCUGGUGUAGCGGUGAAAUGCGUAGAUAUCAGGAGGAACACCGGUGGCGAAGGCGGCCUGCUGGACUGCAACUGACGUUGAGGCCCGAAAGCGUGGGGAGCAAACAGGAUUAGAUACCCUAGUA
rnacentral:rRNA from 1 species